GCAGAGCAUCCUACGGGAGGCAGCAGUGGGGAAUAUUGCACAAUGGGCGCAAGCCUGAUGCAGCCAUGCCGCGUGUAUGAAGAAGGCCUUCGGGUUGUAAAGUACUUUCAGCAGUGAGGAAGGUGGGUAUGUUAAUAGCAUAUUCAUUUGACGUUAGCUGCAGAAGAAGCACCGGCUAACUCCGUGCCAGCAGCCGCGGUAAUACGGAGGGUGCGAGCGUUAAUCGGAAUUACUGGGCGUAAAGCGCAUGCAGGUGGUUUGUUAAGUCAGAUGUGAAAGCCCGGGGCUCAACCUCGGAAUUGCAUUUGAAACUGGCAAACUAGAGUACUGUAGAGGGGGGUAGAAUUUCAGGUGUAGCGGUGAAAUGCGUAGAGAUCUGAAGGAAUACCGGUGGCGAAGGCGGCCCCCCUGGACAGAUACUGACACUCAGAUGCGAAAGCGUGGGGAGCAAACAGGAUUAGAUACCCUGGUAG
rnacentral:rRNA from 1 species